CGCCCAUACCCCAUCCUCCUAUUCUUCUUUUUCUUCUUCUCUGACCCCCGUCUCGUCUUCUCUGUUUUGUUGGUACAACGGCUAACGACGACAACGUCGACAGCCAAGGGAGGAAUUGGAGGGUCCCCUCCCCCUCUCUCAUCUUUGUUCCCUUCCCUCUUUCUUCUACUAGGCAGAUUCAGUUUUUUUUCUGCUCUUGUCUUGUGUGGUCUAAUCGUGCUCAUAUCCUUAAUUGAGUCAUUAGCAGGAUAUUUGUUUGCUUAUCACACAACAACUCAUCCAAGUGAGACCUCUCUGUUUAUUUCUUCUCUUCUCUUCAGAGGAGAGGAGAGGAGCCCAAAUGGAUUAAUGAAAGCAGAGGAAUUUAUUUCAAACCACAAGGUCCUUGAGUCAAAACAAAGCAAGAUUUACAGCUUCCCGCAGGAUUCAGUUCGCUACAGCACCGUUGCCAUCAUUGUUGUGAUGAGCGCCUUGGCGUUGCUGCUUCCGUGUGGUAGCGCUGUUCAACGUCCGCUACAAAACCAACCAGGGUUCUAACAUACGUGCAACAAUCAAAAUAAAUGGCUAUGAAUGAGAAAGAUAAACUUGCAAAGAGAAUUCAAUUGUUUAGAACUCAAGAAGAAAUAGAAAACUUGAGGAGUUGAAGUUCCUUCUCGUUUGCUCAUUUUCGGUGGUUCAGGCACGUGCCGUUGAUGUUGGUCAAGCUAGUGCCCUCCUCUUUAACUAAUUUGCUUGAUGGUGGUCAGAUAUGGGGGUGCAGUGGAUUGAGACAGUUGGUCGAGUUACCAAUUUGUGGCUCUCCUCCGCGCAUGAGGAAGGCGAUGCCAUUAUGCCUAGGCUGCCACGGAGCCGAACAAGAACGGUGGUCGGCCUGUCACCUAACUCCAUCAAGGUUUCGCUGUCGACCGUGUGUGGUUUGAGCAUCGUUUCUUGCUACUACAGGAUCAGAGUCGUUGUAGACUGGGAGGUAAGCGUUGGGAGGAAUGCAUUUCAUUGUUAGAAAUUUAGUCUUCUAAAAUGAUAUGCAUCAUUGUUUGAUAUCAAUAUUAGUCAAUCCGAAAAGAAACUUGAUGGCGACAUGCCUCCUAGGAACAAUAGAAACUAUCUUUAUAUAGAGGGGAAGCAAACAAACAUAAUUAUUUCUUCUGGUUUACUAUUACUUACGUAGCUCAUAGUAAUAAUCACAUAUUUUUAACUAUUCUAUGUUUUGCUUACCUAACAAGACUGUAGGAGAAUUUCACUCUUGUUUAGAUUGGGUUGCCGCUCUAUUAGAGAUGUUUAGAUUCCUGAUAUUUUAAGCAUGGAAAAAUUAGCACAUAUGCCAGCUAUUUGUAUUCCUCUGAACUGAUCCAUUUUUCUCGAAAUUGUUGUUUCUAUAUACAUGCAAUAAAAACUAUCAGGCCCGUUCAUGUUUUCUCAUUUUGAUAAAUCGCAAAAAACAGCGCUCUAGGUAGUAUUCGAACAAGCGAUCUCCUGGUUUCGAGAACGCCGCGAUAACCACCGACCCACUCCUUCGGAUCUGACUGAUUACCUUCUUUUGAGAGUAAAUACUUACUGUUUUUUCGAACGAUUUUGUUUGAUUUUUUCUUUUUACUUUCUUUUUGUUCUUACAUUUCUUGAUAAUUAAUAAAUGCGCGAACUUUUGUCAUUUUCGCUAUUUUGUUUUGGUAAAAUCGAUGAACUAUUUUUCAGUUCGUGAACCUUUUUUGAAUUUGAUAAACCUUUUUUAAAUUGAUGAACUAUUUUUUCAAAAUCAAUGGACUUUUUUCAAAAGUUGUGAACUUUUUUUCAAAACUCGUGAACUUUCAUGAAAAUGGGUGAACUUUUUGUCAAAACCGAUGAACUUUUUUCAAUUGUAUGAACUCUUUGUGAAAAUCGAUGAACUUUUUCAAUUUUCUUGAACUAUUUUGUAUAUGAUGAACUUUUCCAAAAUUUUCAUGAACUUUUUUCAAACUCACGAACUUCUUAAAUUUCGCUAACUUUUCUGGAAUUAGUGAACUUUUUCAAAUUUAUGAAAAAAAUUCUCGAAAUAGUGAACUUUUUUCAAUUUUCGUUAGCUUUCUUGAAUAAGUGAACCUUUUCUUUUUGAAACAAAUUCGUGAACCUUUUUUUAAUCUGUGAACAUGUAAUUUUGGAACAGCGCGGCUGCAAUUGUCCUUAAACCCUUCGCGGUAAUGUUAGCCAGUCUUAUGAGCGGGUCUAGUGGUAAGCCAACUGCGUACUGCAAGGCAACGACGCAUGUUCGAAUCCUCGGCGCGACAAGUUUUUUAGGUAUUUUUUCGCUGUUGUUGCUUGUUCGUGGGCCGGCCCACUAAGGCGGCGCAGUGAGCGCCAGUUUGGUUCAGCGGCGCUGAACGCGCUGAAUAGGAGGUCCCAAGAAGUCGAGAAGACACCCUUCUCUCUGUUUCUAAAUUACAGAGUACCUCGCCUCCUUGCUGUCUGCCGGGGGCGCCUGGUUCAGGGCCGCCCUCGCCUGCUGCGUCUACGUCCUGCUGGCGCAGCUCGCCGCGCUGGGGUACGAGGCGGCGGCGGCGCCCAUCGAGGCCGAGGCGCUGCUGCUGCCUGCCGUGCAGGCGCUGGCCUGGGCAGCGCUGCUGGCGCUUGCGCUGCGGGCGUGUGCCGGCAGCCGGGGCAGGUCCCCGGCGCUCGUCCGAGUCUGGUGGGUGCUCUCCUCACUCCCCGCCGAGAUCCUUGAUUUGUGAUCCCAGCUCUCCGUGCUCGCCUCGCCCCGCUCCGUCGUGUCAGGUGCUCCUCCUCUCGCUCUCUUCCAUCCCCUCCUUUCCGCCGCCACCUUGGCCACAGCCAACCGAUGGAAGAUGGAGUAGGGAUCGGGAGAGGAACAAGGAGUAAGAGGAGACCACUUGCUGGUGGCUAGAGAACCACAUCCCCAGCGCCAUGCUCCUGAGUCCGCUUCUACUGCCUCCAGUCGGAAUACCUACCUACAACAGCAAGGCUCUUUCAUUUCAUAUAUGGACGGCAAGGGCGUCUUCAGCAGCGUCUAAAUAGGAUUCGACUGCCCACUCGAUGCCAAGGGAGAUGCAUCGCUGUCGCCGUCAAGGGACUCAACCAGCGCGGCCUCCAGGUAUAGCGCGCCCAGCGCCACUGUUUUUUCAUCUACGAGUUAAUUUAUUUCCCAUUAUGUUCUAUUUCCCAUGUGAUUCAGCUUCCAAUUAUUUUUGCCAUGGGAGAAAGGAUUGACUGAAUGUGACCAAAUCUAAAGAAAUGCUAAUUGAGGUUUGUUUCCACAUACAACAAUGUAAGAUCCUUCAUCCCAUUGUUACAACCACACACAAACUUGAGCCUACCAGAGCACCUGGAUUUUCAGCCAUCCGAUUGAGUAGCCAAACGUUUGAUCUUCAGAUAGAAUUGAACCGAUCCAUGUGUAAACUAAACUGUUAUGGUUUGAACUUCGAGGAGCUCAAUCCAUACAGCUACAUUGAUGUUAUUUACCUAUGAGAUUAGAGAAAAGUGGAAUGCUCCUUUUCUAACUAGGUGCAUACAUUCACUUGAUUUUUAGAUUUUACAUGAUCCCUCUUGGUUCUAAGAACAUAUAGACAUGUAAUUUUGUUUGCUAUUUUGUUGGUCAGUUUUUGUUAGCUAAUAAGAUGGUUUUUUGCAGAGAUUCACUUAAUUUGGUAUAAAAACAAUAUAACCACCGCCAUGUCGAUGUACUCUGAAGCUGAAUUGUUUUUUGUGGUUUCAUAUUUUAUUUGGAAGAAUGUCCGGGACCAACUAUCAUUUAAAACACGAAGAAUAUGGUAUAUAAUCGCUGAGAUGCUUUGUUCUUUUUCUGUUUACAUGUACAAGCUACAAUAGCUUGGACCUUUUAGGGCCCUCAUUGUUGUUUGGAAACAGUUCUUGUCUUUGCUAUAACAAUGCACACUUUACUUUGAGAAGAAGAAUGUGCUCAUUGAUGCUGUUUA